UACGUAGGGUGCAAGCGUUGCCCGGAUUUAUUGGGCGUAAAGAGCUCGUAGGCGGUUCGGUAAGUCAGGUGUGAAAUCUCCACGCUCAACGUGGAGGCGCCACCUGAAACUGCCGUGACUCGAGUCCGGUAGGGGAGUGUGGAAUUCCCGGUGUAGCGGUGAAAUGCGCAGAUAUCGGGAGGAACACCAAUGGCGAAGGCAGCUCGCUGGGACGUAACUGACGCUGAGACGCGAAAGCGUGGGGAGCAAACAGG
rnacentral:rRNA from 1 species